rnacentral:rRNA from 1 species
GAUGAACGCUAGCGGCAGGCCUAACACAUGCAAGUCGAGGGGUAACUAGAGUGAUAGCAAUAUUACUUUGGCUAGACCGGCGCACGGGUGCGUAACACGUAUGCAACCUACCUUAUACUGGGGAAUAACUUCGAGAAAUCGGCGCUAAUACCCCAUAACAUUGCGAAGAGGCAUCUCUUUGCAAUUAAAGCUCCGGCGGUAUAAGAUGGGCAUGCGUCCAAUUAGCUAGUUGGUGAGGUAACGGCUCACCAAGGCUACGAUUGGUAGGGGUUCUGAGAGGAUGAUCCCCCACACUGGUACUGAGACACGGACCAGGCUCCUACGGGAGGCAGCAGUGAGGAAUAUUGCGCAAUGGACGAAAGUCUGACGCAGCCAUGCCGCGUGCAGGAUGACGGCCCUAUGGGUUGUAAACUGCUUUUGUACGGGAAUAAACCCUUCUACGUGUAGGAGGCUGAAGGUACCGUAAGAAUAAGCACCGGCUGACUCCGUGCCAGCAGCCGCGGUAA